AGGACAAGGUUAAUUACGGUGAUUCAAUGUUCAUGGACACACCAAGAGGGCAACAAGAGGACACCAGAGCAUUUUGUUGGUUUCGAGGCUGUCAUCACAACUCAAUGCAUGAAUGGAUGUUGCAAAAUAAGGAGGAAGGUUCAUCUUAUCAUGAAAGUUCAUAUACUUGAACACCAGACAUGCCAAAGCUCACUAACCCCUUUAAAAGACGAAUAUGAAAUAUUUUUAGCGCACAUACAUUCUGUCUAUAUCAUAUGUUUCAAUAUGGUUUUUUCUGGUGUUACCUGACAGCAUUUAUAGCGUGGCAUGGAUUAGGAUUGAACAUUCAUUCCUGACUCGGUAAGCUUUGGAGGACCUUUAGAAACUUUAUCCUCACCAGCUCAGUCUAAAGGACCGCGAAAGUUGAAGGCUUAAUAUGGCAAGUAAAAUAGAUCUCUGGACGAGUUGCUGUUUAAGAAAAAAAAUAAAGCACUCAACACAAAAGCAUGUCUUUUGGUUACUAUUGUAAAGCUAUAUGUAGGGAUGUUGUAAUGUUGUAAUUGAAGUGUUUUGACUAUACUGUGUUUAUAACCAAUAAGCCCGUUAGCAUAUUACUCAUGGGAUUGAUUUUG